rnacentral:rRNA from 1 species
AUGGGCGCAGCUGAUCAGCCAUGCCGCGUGAGUGAUGAAGGCCCUAGGGUUGUAAAGCUCUUUCAGCGAGGAGGAUAAUGACGUUACUCGCAGAAGAAGCCCCGGCUAACUUCGUGCCAGCAGCCGCGGUAAUACGAAGGGGGCUAGCGUUGUUCGGAAUCACUGGGCGUAAAGCGCACGUAGGCGGACUGAUCAGUCAGGGGUGAAAUCCCGGGGCUCAACCCCGGAACUGCCUUUGAUACUGUCAGUCUUGAGUCCGAGAGAGGUGAGUGGAACUCCGAGUGUAGAGGUGAAAUUCGUAGAUAUUCGGAAGAACACCAGUGGCGAAGGCGGCUCACUGGCUCGGUACUGACGCUGAGGUGCGAAAGCGUGGGGAGCAAACAGGAUUAGAUACCCCGGUAGU